rnacentral:rRNA from 1 species
AGCAGCCGCGGUAAUUCCAGCUCCAAUAGCGUAUAUUAAAGUUGUUGCAGUUAAAAAGCUCGUAGUUGGACCUUGGACCUGGACAGGCGGUCCGCCUCACGGCGAGUACUGUCUUGCUGGGUCUUUCCUCUUGGUGAUCUGUUGUUUCGGCAGCAGGGAACCAGGACCUUUACUUUGAAAAAAUUAGAGUGUUCAAAGCAGGCUCGACGCCGGAAUAUAUUAGCAUGGAAUAAUAAAAUAGGACGUGCGGUUCUAUUUUGUUGGUUUUUGGAAUCGCCGUA